AGCUCCAAUAGCGUAUAUUUAAGUUGUUGCAGUUAAAAAGCUCGUAGUUGGAUUUCGGGUGGGGUCCGCCGGUCCGCCGUCUCGGUGAGCACUGGUGGGGCCCAUCUUUUUGUCGGGGACGCGCUCCUGGCCUUCAUUGGUUGGGACGCGGAGUCGGCGAUGUUACUUUGAAAAAAUUAGAGUGUUCAAAGCAGGCCUUCGCUCUGAAUACAUUAGCAUGGAAUAACACGAUAGGACUCUGGUCCUAUUUUGUUGGUCUUCGGGACCGGAGUAAUGAUUAAUAGGGACAGUUGGGGGCAUUCGUAUUUCAUUGUCAGAGGUGAAAUUCUUGGAUUUAUGAAAGACGAACUUCUGCGAAAGCAUUUGCCAAGGAUGUUUUCAUUAAUCAAGAACGAAAGUA
rnacentral:rRNA from 1 species